rnacentral:rRNA from 1 species
CCCCGGCUAACUACGUGCCAGCAGCCGCGGUAAUACGUAGGGGGCUAGCGUAUCCGGGAAUUACUGGGCGUAAAGGGUGCGUAGGUGGUUUCUUAAGUCAGAGGUGAAAGCUACGGCUCAACCGUAGUAAGCCUUUGAAACUGAGAAACUUGAGUGCAGGAGAGGAGAGUGAAUUCCUAGUGUAGCGGUGAAAUGCGUAGAUAUUAGGAGGAACACCAGUUGCGAAGGCGCUCUCUGGACUGUAACUGACACUGAGGCACGAAAGCGUGGGGAGCAAACAGGAUUAGAUACCUGGUAGUCCACGCCGUAAACGAUGAGUACUAGCUGUCGGAGGUUACCCCCUUCGGUGGGCAGCUAACGCAUUAAGUACUCCGCCUGGGAAGUACGCUCGCAAGAGUGAAACUCAAAGGAUUGACGGGGACCCGCACAAGUAGCGGAGCAUGUGGUUUAAUUCGAAGCAACGCGAAGAACUUACCUAAGCUUGACAUCCUUUUGACCUCUCCCUAAUCGGAGAUUUCCCUUCGGGGACAAAGUGACAGGUGGUGCAUGGUUGUCGUCAGCUCGUGUCGUGAGAUGUUGGGUUAAGUCCCCAACGAGCGCAACCCUUGCCUUUAGUUGCCAGCAUUAAGUUGGGCACUCUAGAGGGACUGCAGGGAUAACCUGGAGGAAGGUGGGGAUGACGUCAAAUCAUCAUGCCCCUUAUGCUUAGGCUACACACGUGCUACAAUGGGUGGUACAGAGGGCAGCCAAGUCGUGAGGCGGAGCUAAUCCUUAAAGCCAUUCUCAGUUCGGAUUGUAGGCUGAAACUCGCCUACAUGAAGCUGGAGUUAUAGUAAUCGCAGAUCAGAAUGCUGCGGUGAAUGCGUUCCCGGGUCUUGCACUCACCGCCCU